GAUGAACGCUGACAGAAUGCUUAACACAUGCAAGUCAUUGGCGAAGCUGCGCUUGCGCAGUCUAGCCAAGGCGGACGGGUGAGUAACGCGUAAGGAACUUGCCCUGCAGACAGGGAUAACAGACGGAAACGACUGAUAACACCUGGUAUUGUCAGGCUGGCGCAUGCCGGCCUGAUGAAAGGAGACGCUGCAGGAGAGCCUUGCGUCCUAUUAGCUAGUUGGUGGGGUAACGGCCCACCAAGGCGAUGAUAGGUAGCCGGCCUGAGAGGGUGAACGGCCACAAAGGGACUGAGAUACGGCCCUUACUCCUACGGGAGGCAGCAGUGGGAAAUAUUGGACAAUGGGGGCAACCCUGAUCCAGCAAUACUGUGUGCACGAAGAAGGUUUUCUGAUUGUAAAGUGCUUUCAGCAGGGAAGAAGAAAGUGACGGUACCUGCAGAAGAAGCGACGGCUAAAUACGUG
rnacentral:rRNA from 1 species